UUCUAGUUAAGAGUCCUAAUUAAAAUUCUAAGGGAAAAAUCCUAAUAAAAUUCUAAUGAAAAUUCUAAUUAAAUUGCAAAAAUCCUAAUUAAGUUCUAAUAUCCUAAUGAUCAAGAUUUAAAUUCUAAUUUCAAUGAUUAACCUAAUUAAACCAAUAAUAUGCUAAUUAACCUAAUUAAAUUGUAAAAACAAUAAAAGAAAAUAAAAGAAAACAAAUAAAAAUGGAAAAGGAGG
rnacentral:lncRNA from 1 species